rnacentral:rRNA from 1 species
UGCGUAGGCGGCUUGGUAAGUCAGAUGUGAAAUUCCGGGGCUCAACCGCGGAACUGCAUUUGAUACUGCCAGGCUAGAGUACUGGAGAGGAAACUGGAAUUCACGGUGUAGCAGUGAAAUGCGUAGAUAUCGUGAGGAAGGCCAGUGGCGAAGGCGAGUCUCUGGACAGUAACUGACGCUGAGGCACGAAGGCUAGGGGAGCAAACG